rnacentral:rRNA from 1 species
GUAAUUCCAGCUCCAAUAGCGUAUAUUAAAGUUGUUGUGGUUAAAAAGCUCGUAGUAGAACCUUGGGCCUGGCUGGCCGGUCCGCCUCACCGCGUGCACUGGUCCGGCCGGGCCUUUCCCCCUGUGGAACCUCAUGCCCUUCACUGGGUGUGUGGGAAAACAGGACUUUUACUUUGAAAAAAUUAGAGUGCUCCAGGCAGGCCUAUGCUCGAAUACAUUAGCAUGGAAUAAUAGAAUAGGACGUGUGGUUCUAUUUUGUUGGUUUCUAGGACCGCCGUAAUGAUUAAUAGGGACAGUCGGGGGCAUCAGUAUUCAAUUUUCAGAGGUGAAAUUCUUGGAUUUAUUGAAGACUAACUACUGCGAAAGCAUUUUCCAAGGAUGUUUUCAUUUUUCAGGAACGAAAGUUAGGGGAUCGAAGACGAUCAGAUACCGUCGUAGUCUUAACCAUAAACUAUGCCGACUAGGGAUCGGACGAUGUUAUUUUUUGAACUCGUUUCGGCACCUUACGAGAAAUCAAAGUGCUUGGGCUCCA